UGCGCAGGCGGUUAGAUAAGUCAGAUGUGAAAUCCCCGAGCUCAACUUGGGAAUUGCAUUCGAUACUGGGAAGCUAGAGUAUGGGAGAGGAUGGUAGAAUUCCAGGUGUAGCGGUGAAAUGCGUAGAGAUCUGGAGGAAUACCGAUGGCGAAGGCAGCCAUCUGGCCUAAUACUGACGCUGAGGUACGAAAGCAUGGGGAGCAAACAGGAUUAGAUACCCUAGUA
rnacentral:rRNA from 1 species